rnacentral:rRNA from 1 species
AGUGAACGCUGGCGGUAGGCCUAACACAUGCAAGUCGAACGGCAGCACAGUAAGAGCUUGCUCUUACGGGUGGCGAGUGGCGGACGGGUGAGGAAUACAUCGGAAUCUACUUUUUCGUGGGGGAUAACGUAGGGAAACUUACGCUACUACCGCAUACGACCUACGGGUGAAAGCAGGGGAUCUUCGGACCUUGCGCGAUUGAAUGAGCCGAUGUCGGAUUAGCUAGUUGGCGGGGUAAAGGCCCACCAAGGCGACGAUCCGUAGCGGGUCUGAGAGGAUGAGCAGCCACACUGGAACUGAGACACGGUCCAGACUCCGACGGGAGGGAGCAGUGGGGAAUGGUGGACAAGGGGCGGGAGCCUGAUCCAGCCGUACCGCGUGGGUGAAGAAGGCCUUCGGGUUGGGGAGGCCUUUUGUUGGGAAAGAGGAGCAGCAGGUUAAUACCGCGCGGUUCUGACGGUACCCAAAGAAUAAGCACCGGCUAACUUCGUG